rnacentral:rRNA from 1 species
UACGUAGGGGGCAAGCGUUGUCCGGAAUCAUUGGGCGUAAAGCGCGUGUAGGCGGCUUGUUAUGUCGGGUGUGAAAGCCCUCAGCUUAACUGAGGAAGUGCGCCCGAAACUGUCGAGCUUGAGUGCCGGAGAGGAUCGUGGAACACCCGGUGUAGAGGUGAAAUUCGUAGAUAUCGGGUAGAACACCAGUGGCGAAGGCGACGAUCUGGACGGACACUGACGCUGAGACGCGAAAGCGUGGGGAGCAAACAGG